rnacentral:rRNA from 1 species
GCAUCAGUUGUACUGCCAAGUGCAAAGCUGAGUAGCUAAGUUUGGAAGGGAUAAGUGCUGAAGGCAUCUAAGCACGAAGCCCCCCUCAAGAUAAGAUUUCCCAUUACGUUAAGUAAGUAAGACUCCAGGAAGACCACCUGGUAGAUAGGUCUCAGGUAGAAGAGUAGCAAUACUUGCAGCUAAGAGAUACUAAUAAGUCGAGGACUUGACCUAAA